rnacentral:rRNA from 1 species
CCUACGUGGUGCUGCAGUGGGGAAUAUUGGACAAUGGGCGAAAGCCUGAUCCAGCCAUGCCGCGUGUGUGAAGAAGGCCUUCGGGUUGUAAAGCACUUUCAGUGGGGAAGAAAGCCUUGGGGCUAAUACCCUCGAGGAAGGACAUCACCCACAGAAGAAGCACCGGCUAACUCCGUGCCAGCAGCCGCGGUAAUACGGAGGGUGCGAGCGUUAAUCGGAAUUACUGGGCGUAAAGCGCGCGUAGGCGGUCUGAUAAGCCGGUUGUGAAAGCCCCGGGCUCAACCUGGGAACGGCAUCCGGAACUGUCAGGCUAGAGUGCAGGAGAGGAAGGUAGAAUUCCCGGUGUAGCGGUGAAAUGCGUAGAGAUCGGGAGGAAUACCAGUGGCGAAGGCGGCCUUCUGGACUGACACUGACGCUGAGGUGCGAAAGCGUGGGUAGCAAACAGGAUUAGAUACCCCGGUAGUC